AUUGAACGCUGGCGGCAGGCCUAACACACGCAAGUCGAGCGGAUGAGGGAAGCUUGCUUCCCGAUUUAGCGGCGGACGGGUGAGUAAUGCCUAGGAAUCUGCCUAUUAGUGGGGGAUAACGUUCCGAAAGGAACGCUAAUACCGCAUACGUCCUACGGGAGAAAGUGGGGGAUCUUCGGACCUCACGCUAUUAGAUGAGCCUAGGUCGGAUUAGCUAGUUGGUGGGGUAACGGCUCACCAAGGCGACGAUCCGUAGCUGGUCUGAGAGGAUGAUCAGCCACACUGGAACUGAGACACGGUCCAGACUCCUACGGGAGGCAGCAGUGGGAAAUAUUGGACAAUGGGCGAAAGCCUGAUCCAGCCAUGCCGCGUGUGUGAAGAAGGUCUUCGGAUUGUAAAGCACUUUAAGUUGGGAGGAAGGGUUGUAAGCUAAUAUCUUGCAGCUUUGACGUUACCAACAGAAUAAGCACCGGCUAACUCUGUGCCAGCCGCCGCAGUAAUAC
rnacentral:rRNA from 1 species